GCAGUGGUGGUUCAGUGAUAGAAUAUUUGCUUUCCAUGUGGGUGAUCCUGGUUCGAUUCGAGCCAAUGCA
rnacentral:tRNA from 1 species